rnacentral:rRNA from 1 species
UAGGGAAUCUUCGGCAAUGGACGAAAGUCUGACCGAGCAACGCCGCGUGAGUGAAGAAGGUUUUCGGAUCGUAAAACUCUGUUGUUAGAGAAGAACAAGGACGUUAGUAACUGAACGUCCCCUGACGGUAUCUAACCAGAAAGCCACGGCUAACUACGUGCCAGCAGCCGCGGUAAUACGUAGGUGGCAAGCGUUGUCCGGAUUUAUUGGGCGUAAAGCGAGCGCAGGCGGUUUCUUAAGUCUGAUGUGAAAGCCCCCGGCUCAACCGGGGAGGGUCAUUGGAAACUGGGAGAUUUGAGUGCAGAAGAGGAGAGUGGAAUUCCAUGUGUAGCGGUGAAAUGCGUAGAUAUAUGGAGGAACACCAGUGGCGAAGGCGGCUCUCUGGUCUGUGACUGACGCUGAGGCUCGAAAGCGUGGGGAGCAAACAGG